GACGAACGCUGGCGGCGUGCCUAAUACAUGCAAGUAGAACGCUGAAGAGAGGAGCUUGCUCUUCUUGGAUGAGUUGCGAACGGGUGAGUAACGCGUAGGUAACCUGCCUGGUAGCGGGGGAUAACUAUUGGAAACGAUAGCUAAUACCGCAUAAAAUUGAUUAUUGCAUGAUAAUUAAUUGAAAGAUGCAAUUGCAUCACUACCAGAUGGACCUGCGUUGUAUUAGCUAGUUGGUGAGGUAACGGCUCACCAAGGCGACGAUACAUAGCCGACCUGAGAGGGUGAUCGGCCACACUGGGACUGAGACACGGCCCAGACUCCUACGGGAGGCAGCAGUAGGGAAUCUUCGGCAAUGGGGGGAACCCUGACCGAGCAACGCCGCGUGAGUGAAGAAAGGUUUUUCGGAUCGUAAAAGCUUCUGUUGUAAAGAGAAAGAAACGGG
rnacentral:rRNA from 1 species